GAUGGCGAGUUUGAUCCUGGCUCAGGAUAAACGCUGGCGGCGUGCCUAACACAUGCAAGUCGAACGCACUCAGCAAUGAGUGAGUGGCGGACGGGUGAGUAACACGUGGGCAAUUUA
rnacentral:rRNA from 1 species